rnacentral:rRNA from 1 species
UACAGAGGGUGCGAGCGUUAAUCGGAAUUACUGGGCGUAAAGGGCGCGUAGGCGGAUGACCAAGUGUGAUGUGAAAUCCCUGGGCUCAACCUGGGAAUGGCAUCACGGACUGGUGAUCUGGAGUACUGUAGAGGGCAGUGAAAUUUCCGGUGUAGCGGUGAAAUGCGUAGAGAUCGGAAGGAACACCGGUGGCGAAGGCGGCUGUCUGGACAGAUACUGACGCUGAGGCGGCGAAAAGCGUGGGGAGCAAACAGG